UACGUAGGGACCGAGCGUUGUCCGGAAUCAUUGGGCGUAAAGAGCGUGUAGGCGGCCACUUAAGUCCUGCGUGAAAUCUUGCGGCUCAACCGCAAGCGGUCGUGGGAAACUGGGUGGCUAGAGUGCGGGAGAGGAGAGUGGAAUUCCCGGUGUAGAGGUGAAAUUCGUAGAUAUCGGGAGGAACACCAGUGGCGAAGGCGGCGAUCUGGGAAGAUACUGACGCUGAGGUGCGAAAGCGUGGGGAGCAAACAGGG
rnacentral:rRNA from 1 species